rnacentral:lncRNA from 1 species
GUGCUGGAAGAAGCUGGCUUUUAGUUCAAACAGGAGAAUUACAUUAUUCUAAUUGUAUACUCUUACUCUAAUCUUUUUCUUUCGGAAUUAAGCCAGGAUAGUCCACCAGCUUUCACUAAUUAUUAAGUAAAAAGACUAUUUUUAAAAUUUGUAUAUUGGAAACUUAAGGAAAUAAAACUGAAAAGCAACUGAAUCUGAAUUUUAAGAGAUAUUAUAUAUUACAUAUACACACAUACACACACAUAGAAUUGCUUGAAGUAAAAAAGUAUCUUUUUUAAAAAGAAAAACUUUACUAUAAUUUUUUAAAUUUCUAAUAAUCCUUUUACCUGAAUUAUUGAAGUGAUUCCUCAUACCUAAUUUAUGACCUCAGAAUGACAAUUUUGGGGUCAGAAAAUGACUGUGGGUAUUUAUUUUUAGUAAUGACAAUUUCAAGUGUUGCAGCUUAUAUAGAGAGAGGUAUCUGUAUGCAAACCAUCUUUGAUCAUUACUUUGUGAUGAAUUGGGUAUAGACUCUAAAGAAAUAUUUUAAUUAAGUAAUAUUUUGUUUCAGAUUCAACCAACUCUGGUGAUAACAUGUAUACUUUAAUGAAUGCAGUACCUCCUGGACCUAACAGACCUAAUUUUCCAAUGGGUCCUGGGUCAGAUGGUCCCAUGGGUGGAUUAGGAGGAAUGGAGUCACAUCACAUGAAUGGCUCUUUAGGCUCAGGAGAUAUGGACAGUAUUUCCAAGAAUUCUCCCAAUAAUAUGAGCCUGAGUAAUCAACCGGGCACUCCAAGGGAUGAUGGCGAAAUGGGGGGAAAUUUCUUAAAUCCUUUUCAGAGUGAGAGUUACUCCCCUAGCAUGACAAUGAGCGUGUGAUCCAUUACCAAGUCUCCUCAUGAAAACCACAGUGAGUCAGCCCUUCACAGAACUACUACGGAAGAAAAU